GGAAGGGUGGCUGAGUCCGGUUUAAGGCACUCGACUCGAAAUCGAGCGUUGGGUUAAACCAACCGUGGGUUCGAAUCCCACCCCUUCCGCCA
rnacentral:tRNA from 1 species